AGUGAACGCUGGCGGUAGGCCUAACACAUGCAAGUCGAACGGCAGCACAGUAAGAGCUUGCUCUUACGGGUGGCGAGUGGCGGACGGGUGAGGAAUACAUCGGAAUCUACUUUUUCGUGGGGGAUAACGUAGGGAAACUUACGCUACUACCUCAUACGACCUACGGGUGAAAGCAGGGGAUCUUCGGACCUUGCGCGAUUGAAUGAGCCGAUGUCGGAUUAGCUAGUUGGCGGGGUAAAGGCCCACCAAGGCGACGAUCCGUAGCUGGUCUGAGAGGAUGAUCAGCCACACUGGAACUGAGACACGGUCCAGACUCCUACGGGAGGCAGCAGUGGGGAAUAUUGGACAAUGGGCGCAAGCCUGAUCCAGCCAUACCGCGUGGGUGAAGAAGGCCUUCGGGUUGUAAAGCCCUGUUGUUGGGAAAGAAAAGAAGCAGGUUAAUACCUCGCUGUUCUGACGGUACCCAAAGAAUAAGCACCGGCUAACUUCGUG
rnacentral:rRNA from 1 species